UGCCCGAUGGUGUAAUGGUAGCACAGCUGUUUUUGGUACAGCUUGUCGAGGUUCGAAUCCUUGUCGGGCAA
rnacentral:tRNA from 1 species